rnacentral:rRNA from 1 species
CCUACGGGGGGCAGCAGUGGGGAAUAUUGCACAAUGGGGGAAACCCUGAUGCAGCGACGCCGCGUGAGUGAAGAAGUAUCUCGGUACGUAAAGCUCUAUCAGCAGGGAAGAAAAUGACGGUACCUGACUAAGAAGCUCCGGCUAACUACGUGCCAGCAGCCGCGGUAAUACGUAGGGGGCAAGCGUUAUCCGGAUUUACUGGGUGCAAAGGGAGCGUAGACGGCAGCACAAGUCUGGAGUGAAAUCCCGGGGCUUAACCCCGGAACUGCAUUGGAAACUGGACGGCUGGAGUGCAGGAGGGGUAGGCGGAAUUCCUGGUGUAGCGGUGAAAUGCGUAGAUAUUAGGAGGAACGCCGGUGGCGAAGGCGGCUUACUGGACUGUAACUGACGUUGAGGCUCGAAAGCGUGGGGAGCAAACAGGAUUAGAUACCCGAGUAGUC